rnacentral:rRNA from 1 species
UAGCAGGUUCUCACUGUUUACUGCUCGCCUUAUUUUUAUAAAUGAGGAUACGAGAAGUAAAGAGUGAGAAUGCUGACGAGUGGCGGACGGCUGAGUAACGCGUGGGAACGUGCCCCAAAGUGAGGGAUAACGCACCGAAAGGUGUGCUAAUACCGCAUAUGGUCUUCGGAUUAAAGAAUUUAUUCGCUUUGGGAGCGGCCCGCGUCGGAUUAGGUUGUUGGUGAGGUAAUGGCUCACCAAGCCGACGAUCCGUAGCUGGUCUGAGAGGAUGACCAGCCAGACUGGAACUGAGACACGGUCCAGACUCCUACGGGAGGCAGCAGUGAGGAAUCUUCCACAAUGGGGGCAACCCUGAUGGAGCAACGCCGCGUGCAGGAUGAAGGCCUUCGGGUUGUAAACUGCUUUUAUUUGUGAAGAAUAUGACGGUAACAAAUGAAUAAGGGUCGGCUAACUACGUGCCAGCAGCCGCGGUCAUACGUAGGACCCAAGCGUUAUCCGGAGUGACUGGGCGUAAAGAGUUGCGUAGGUGGUUUGUAAAGCGAAUAGUGAAAUCUGGCGGCUCAACCGUACAGGCUAUUAUUCGAACUCACAAACUCGAGAAUGGUAGAGGUUACUGGAAUUUCUAGUGUAGGAGUGAAAUCCGUAGAUAUUAGAAGGAACACCAAUGGCGUAGGCAGGUAACUGGACCAUUUCUGACACUAAGGCACGAAAGCGUGGGGAGCGAACCGGAUUAGAUACCCGGGUAGUCCACGCCGUAAACGAUGGAUACUAGCUGUUGGAGGUAUCGACCCCUUCAGUAGCGAAGCUAACGCGUUAAGUAUCCCGCCUGUGGAGUACGGUCGCAAGACUAAA